rnacentral:tRNA from 1 species
GCCUGGGUGGCUCAGUCGGUUGAGCGUCUGACUUCGGCUCAGGUCAUGAUCUCGUGGUCUGUGAGUUUAAGCCCCGCGUCGGGCU